AGCCAUACGCUCGUCUCAAAGAUUAAGCCAUGCAUGUCUAAGUAAAAAUAACUCUUUACUGUGAAACUGCGAACGGCUCAUUAUAUCAGUUAUAGUUUACUUGAUAGUACCUUACUACUUGGAUACCCGUAGUAAUUCUAGAGCUAAUACAUGCAUCAACGCCCAAUCGGGCCGCGUUUAUUAGAUAGAAACCCAUAUUUUUGGUGAAUCAUAAUAACUGUGCGAAUCGCAUGGGUUUACCCCGGCGAUGAAUCAAUCAAGUUUCUGACCUAUCAGCUUUCGACGGUAGGGUAUUGGCCUACCGUUGCUUUGACGGGUAACGGAGAAUUAGGGUUCGAUUCCGGAGAGGGAGCCUGCGAAACGGCUACCACAUCUAAGGAAGGCAGCAGGCGCGCAAAUUACCCAAUCCUGACUCAGGGAGGUAGUGACAAGAAAUAACAAUACUGAGCCUUUCAGGUUUAGUAAUUGGAAUGAGAACAAUUUAAAUCCCUUAUCGAGUAUCAAU
rnacentral:rRNA from 1 species